CCUACGGGUGGCAGCAGUGGGGAAUAUUGGACAAUGGGGGCAACCCUGAUCCAGCCAUGCCGCGUGUGUGAAGAAGGCCCUCGGGUUGUAAAGCACUUUCAGUGAGGAAGAACGCCUGGUGGUUAAUACCCAUCAGGAAAGACAUCACUCACAGAAGAAGCACCGGCUAACUCCGUGCCAGCAGCCGCGGUAAUACGGAGGGUGCGAGCGUUAAUCGGAAUUACUGGGCGUAAAGCGCGCGUAGGUGGCUUAAUAAGCCGGUUGUGAAAGCCCCGGGCUCAACCUGGGAACGGCAUCCGGAACUGUCAAGCUAGAGUGCAGGAGAGGAAGGUAGAAUUCCCGGUGUAGCGGUGAAAUGCGUAGAGAUCGGGAGGAAUACCAGUGGCGAAGGCGGCCUUCUGGACUGACACUGACACUGAGGUGCGAAAGCGUGGGUAGCAAACAGGAUUAGAUACCCCAGUAGUC
rnacentral:rRNA from 1 species